rnacentral:rRNA from 1 species
AGCGAACGCUGGCGGCAGGCCUAACACAUGCAAGUCGAACGAACCUUUCGGGGUUAGUGGCGGACGGGUGAGUAACACGUGGGAACGUGCCUUUAGGUUCGGAAUAACUCAGGGAAACUUGUGCUAAUACCGAAUGUGCCCUUCGGGGGAAAGAUUAAUCGCCUUUAGAGCGGCCCGCGUCUGAUUAGCUAGUUGGUUGAGGUAAUGGCUCACCAAGGCGACGAUCAGUAGCUGGUCUGAGAGGAUGAUCAGCCACAUUGGGACUGAGACACGGCCCAAACUCCUACGGGAGGCAGCAGUGGGGAAUCUUGCGCAAUGGGCGAAAGCCUGACGUAGCCAUGCCGCGUGAAUGAUGAAGGUCUUAGGAUUGUAAAAUUCUUUCACCGGGGACGAUAAUGACGGUACCCGGAGAAGAAGCCCCGGCUAACUUCGU